rnacentral:rRNA from 1 species
AUUGAACGCUGGCGGCAGGCCUAACACAUGCAAGUCGAGCGAGCGGCGGACGGGUGAGUAAUGUAUGGGAAACUGCCCGAUGGAGGGGGAUAACUACUGGAAACGGUAGCUAAUACCGCAUACCAUCGGAUGUGCCCAGAUGGGAUUAGCUAGUAGGUGGGGUAACGGCUCACCAAGGCGACGAUCCCUAGCUGGUCUGAGAGGAUGACCAGCCACACUGGGACUGAGACACGGCCCAGACUCCUACGGGAGGCAGCAGUGGGGAAUAUUGCACAAUGGGCGCAAGCCUGAUGCAGCCAUGCCGCGUGUGUGAAGAAGGCCUUCGGGUUGUAAAGUACUUUCAGCGGGGAGGCGUUACCCGCAGAAGAAGCACCGGCUAACUCCGUGCCAGCAGCCGCGGUAAUAC